GUGGGCCCCUCACAGCCGCCAUGGCGGGGGGGCGCCCCCCCCAGCCGCCAUGGCGGGCGCGCCGGGCCCGCUCGCCACGCACGGCGUAACCAUGGCAACACAUCCGGGGUUCCUGGUUCCGCCCCGUGCCGGCGCGUGCGUCUGACGUCACAUCCGGUAUCGCCAGGUAGGGGGCGGGUGGGGCACGGCGCGCGGAACGGACACGCCCCCCCCGGCGCGCGGCCCCGUGUGGGGCGGGGGGUCCCGCUCCUAGUCCCGAUUCCGAUCCCACUCCUAGGCUCGGUCCCGCUCCUAGUCCCGAUUCCGAUCCCACUCCUAGGCUCGGUCCCGCUCCUAGUCCCGAUUCCGAUCCCACUCCUAGGCUCGGUCCCGCUCCUAGUCCCGAUUCCGAUCCCACUCCUAGGCUCGGUCCCGCUCCUAGUCCCGAUUCCGAUCCCACUCCUAGGCUCGGUCCCGCUCCUAGUCCCGAUUCCGAUCCCACUCCUAGGCUCGGUCCCGCUCCUAGUCCCGAUUCCGAUCCCACUCCUAGGCUCGGUCCCGCUCCUAGUCCCGAUUCCGAUCCCACUCCUAGGCUCGGUCCCGCUCCUAGUCCCGAUUCCGAUCCCACUCCUAGGCUCGGUCCCGCUCCUAGUCCCGAUUCCGAUCCCACUCCUAGGCUCGGUCCCGCUCCUAGUCCCGAUUCCGAUCCCACUCCUAGGCUCGGUCCCGCUCCUAGUCCCGAUUCCGAUCCCACUCCUAGGCUCGGUCCCGCUCCUAGUCCCGAUUCCGAUCCCACUCCUAGGCUCGGUCCCGCUCCUAGUCCCGAUUCCGAUCCCACUCCUAGGCUUGGUCCCGCUCCUAGUCCCGAUUCCGGUCCCGGUCUUAGUCCUGAUCGUAGUCACGAUCCCGGUCCUAGUCUUCCUCGUCGUGGUCCUGGUCCCGAUCCCAAUUCCGGUCCUAGUGCUGGUUCCCGUCCGUGUUCCCGGUCCCGGUCCGCGGUGCCGUCACCCCUGUACCGCUGAGGGGGUGUGGGGGAGGCCUCGGGGGGCUGGGGUUGGUGCUCCCCAAGAACACUCCAGGCUGGAUGCAGGGUGUGUGGUGGGGCUCAGUGACCCUCAGAGGGCCAUGUGA
rnacentral:lncRNA from 1 species